UGAGGAAGUAAAAGUCGUAACAAGGUCUCCGUUGGUGAACCAGCGGAGGGAUCAUUACGAGAGACGCCGCCUCCCUGCUCGCAGGGGGCGACUUCCAACCCUUGCGAACCAUACCAAACCUGUUCUCGUUGUCUCCGGUAGGCGGCCCCGCGUGCUUCGCGGGGCACGCAGGCCCCGGUUGCAUGCCCGGGCGCCUGCCGGAGGCGGCCUGCCACCAAACCUCUUUUUUUUCUCCAUUCUCGUCUGAGCAGAUUGUAACAAAUCAAAACUUUCAACAACGGAUCUCUUGGCUCUGGCAUCGAUGAAGAACGCAGCGAAAUGCGAUAAGUAAUGUGAAUUGCAGAACUCAGUGAAUCAUCGAAUCUUUGAACGCACAUUGCGCCUGCCAGCAUUCUGGCAGGCAUGCCUGUCCGAGCGUCAUUUCCACCCCUCAGCGCGCCCCGGCGCGCUGGUGUUGGGGGCCCUCUCCCGCCCUGGCGCGGCUGAGUCCCCGAAAGCGAGUGGCGGGCCGUCUGGUUUGGCUCUGAGCGCAGUAGAAUCUUCUCGCUCCGGACGCCCCGGUCGUGCCCUGCCGUGAAAACCCGCACUUGACGUGCAACCCACAAGGUGACCUCGG
rnacentral:rRNA from 1 species